rnacentral:rRNA from 1 species
GUCCUUUAGUUAUUUAUUUAAGGUCUGACCUGCCCAAUGAUUUUUUAAUGGCCGCGGUAUAUUAACCGUGCAAAGGUAGCAUAAUCACUUGUCUCUUAAUUGGAGGCUGGAAUGAAUGGUUGGACGAGAAAUAUACUUUCUUUUUUUUAAUUUAUGAAUUUUAUUUUCUAGUUAAAAAGCUGGAAUUUUUUUAUAGGACGAGAAGACCCUAUAGAAUUUUAUAUUUUUAUAAUUCUGUCUUUUUUUGUUUAUUAUUAAGAUAUAAUUUAUAAUAUAUUUUGUUGGGGCGACAGGUAAAUUUUUUUAACUUUUCUUUUUUUCCUUCAUUAAUUUAUGUUUUUAUGAUCCGUUUAUUUACGAUUAAAAGAUUAAAUUACCUUAGGGAUAACAGCGUUAUUCUUUUGGAGAGUUCUUAUCGAUAAAGGAGUUUGCGA